UGCAGCCUUCGGUUCGAGGUUUAUAUAUACUUGUGAAGUUCGUUUCACCUGCUCAUAAAACUUUUGAACUUCAUUGCUGCUCUCUCUCUCUGUUUCCUUCUGAGAAGUCGGUGUUCCUCUGUUCCCUUCUGCUCAUAUGGGCUCAGCGCCAAUAACCGAUGAAAAUGAACAACUUAAAUGCUCUUAAUGUCUGAUUCAAUAGGCUUGCUGAUGUAGAUAGUCCAAAAUCUAAGUCUUAAAGAGGAUCGAAAAGAUUCGAUUUUCAUGGAGUUAUAUCAUCAAUCUUAUAAGACAAAUACAGUUUCAAAGACCAUGAAAUAUGUUGUGGAUGAUAAACAAAAUUCGGAUUGGGCUACUUCUGAUGAUUCACACUUGGUACUGUCUUCCUGAUGACUUGGAAAGAUGUGGCGCUUAUAUCAGACGGUCCUUGAACUUGACUCUUGAUUUUGAGAAGAUAAGCAGAUAAAUUAUAAAUCAACCAACAAGACGACCAUCUGGCAUAAACGGCAUAUCGUGAUCGAUAAGCGACUACUAACUGUAGACAAAUUGUUAGCCGAUAAUGUUGGGAAUACAAAUAGAUCUGGUGUCGCUACGGUCCUCAAAUGCUAUUUAAGAUAACGAAUCAUAUCGGUUAUACAGCUUUUAUAAGUGUCACUCCGCAUUUCAACUGAAAAUAUUGUUUUUUAUUGUAUAAAACAAGGGAGGAAUGAAUGGCUCAUUCAAAACGUUAAUUUUGACUUGUGGUUCGUUCUUCAGCUGUCACGACGACCCAAUUCAGAACUGGUACUAUAAUUUGGUUCCCUACUUAGCGAUCUGUAACCACUUCAGUUUUGACAUUAAGUGAAACAAAUUUCCGAUAUUGUACGGUAAUAUUAAAAAUGAUGCAAGUCACUGGAUAAAUUGUUGAGGACAAUAUUUUGAAACAGCAGAACAGCGAGGACGUGCGGAGCAUUGAAAUGAGGUGAAUGAUUGGCAGGCCUCUGAACUACCCUCACAGCAAAAAAAAAAACAAACUCAUAUUUAAUUUUAAAAAGUGUCAAGAAUAUUCAUAAUGUUGGUUAUUUCUUCACUUAUAUAAUUACAUCGUUGUUCUAGCACUUAAGUGGGACAGUAUAUACAUACGAGUAUGUAAGUUGUUUUUAUCUCAAUAAAAAUAAAGUUUUUAUAUCGUUGUAUCAAAUAUAUUAUUUAACAAAACAAGUUAUUUUCUUUAAAAAUGGAGUGAACGAUUUUUAAGAUAGCUCAAAUUUGACGACUAUAGAUUUUUCCUUACUCAGUAUCGACCAUAUUAACUUUCUUUUCAGUUUAAUGUUUCAUGAUUAUCAAUUAGACUUAUAAGUCGUUUCACGUUUAAGGUUAGCUGUUUUACUUCCUGUGCAUAUCGGCACUUAAUUUUCAUCUCAUAUUUCUUUGCACCAUUUCCAUUUCUGUUAUUUUGCCAAUAGCUUAUUUUUGUAUUUUUGCUAUUGGAACGGAACUUAUGCCUGUUAUAAUGUCUUAGCUUUGCUCUUUAUUUGUUUGUCCAUAUUUUUUAAAGACAAAAAAAGAAAGUGUGAAGUGAAGACUUCCCUUAUUACUAUAGGAACGGACAAAUACAGUUAAAAUUUGAAUAAAAAAGAACCUUAUAAAGUUAA